GAUGUACCAAAAAAGUUACGAAAAGCAUGAAAAAAUAAACAAAAUAGCCAUCCUCUCCGGCGCCUUGGAAUACAUCCACAGGUACACCUCCAAUUGACUCAAAUGAUGUCAAUUAGCCUAACAGAAGCUUCUAAAGCCAUGACAUCAUUUUCUGGAAUUUUCCAAGCUGUUUAUUAACAGUCAACUUAGUGUAUGUAAACUUCUGAUUAGAAUUGUGAUACAGUGUUGGUACAUGUAGUUCAUUUAUUUAUGUAUGUAAUUCAUUGUUUACUUGAAUAUAGACAGUAAAGCUGGAUAUGAAACAAAUGUUGUGGGACAUCACGAUUCAACAGACUACCUCUGAAGUCUGACAGCUUGUGUGUGAUGUCCCUUUGAAGAAGACUGUAAAUGUUAUUGUUUCUCUUGAAAAUCAGACAACAAUUGUGUACAAAACCCCAAAGUGACGGUCUACCCAACAUCCAAACCUGAGCCAAACGCCUUCUGUGUCUGGCUAGAGACAUGUUUCCAGAUUUCAUGGAAGACAGUGGAUGAAAAUGGCCAAACAGCAGAGGUACCCAAAACAGAGAGGGAAGAGCUGGAGCAGAGAGAGGAAGGACGGACAAACAGUAUGAUCAUCAUUAAUAAAGACAAGACAUACAGGAACAAAUACGGCUGUUCUGUGGAGCAUGAAGGGGACCCUCAAGAUGUUGACAUACCAGAAGAGAAAACCAACUGAAGCUUCUCCAACCACCAUAACUGCACCAACCACUUUGCAGGUUAACUAUGAUGAACUGAAGCUCCUCCAACCACCGUGGCUGCACCAACCACUCUGCAGGUUACCAACGUGUCCGUGGCAGGGCAGAAAUUGGACCAGGAGAUAUCAUGGACUAGGACACAGGGACAGGCUGUCUCCUUCAGCUGCAAAGAUACUUACCAGUGUACAACGUUUGUCUACUGGUACCAGAAGAAGGAGGGAGAACCUUUUACCUUGAUUCUUGACAUCCAAAAGGAUAACUGCGCUGUCGAUGCAAGUUACAACCAUCCUCAAAAAGAUGACUUCUCAGCAACAAGUAUGAAUAACAACUGUGAUCUAAAAAUCCAGUCUGUUAAAGUCUCCCAUUCUGCCACCUACUACUGUGCCUGCUGGAACCCACAGUGACAACACAUCCAUUCACCCUGUACAAAAACUCUGGUUUUAGUCAAGCUGUGAAUUUAUAAAAAUUAAAAAACAUAAUCAGAGGAACAUUUUUAGAUGUCUCUCCCAGCUGGUGUUUCAUCUCUCAUCUUCAUAAUCGACUAUAUGAUGAAAACCAUACUUCAGUAAAGAUCUGUG
rnacentral:lncRNA from 1 species